AACGCACGAGACCUGCGGACCUGCGGAAGGAUCAUUACCGAGUUAUCCAACUCCCAACCCCCGUGAAUUAUACCUUUAAUUGUUGCUUCGGCGGGACUUCGCGCCCGCCGGGGACCCAAACCUUCUGAAUUUUUUAAUAAGUAUCUUCUGAGUGGUUAAAAAAAUGAAUCAAAACUUUUAACAACGGAUCUCU
rnacentral:misc_RNA from 1 species